GAUGAACGCUGGCGGCGUGCCUAAUACAUGCAAGUCGAGCGAACGGACGAUAAUCUUUCUUCUCUGAUGUUAGCGGCUUACGUGUUAUUAACACUUUUAUAACCUACCUAUAAUACUUGUAUAACUUCGUGAAACCGUAUCUAAUACCGUAUAAUAUUUUUAACCGCAUUUUUCAAAAUUUAAAUACUGUCUUGCUUUCACUUAUAGAUGUAUACGCUCUUCAUUAGCUAGUUUGUAAGGUAACGGCUUACCAAGGCAACGAUGCAUAGCCGACCUGAGAGGGUGAUCGGCCACACUGGAAAUGAGACACGGUCCAGACUCCUACGGGAGGAAGCAGUAGGGAAUCUUACGCAAUGGGCGAAAGCCUGACGGAGAAACGCCGCGUGAGUGAUGAAGGUCUUCGGAUCGUAAAACUCUGUUAUUAGGGAAGAACAUAUGUGUAAGUAACUGUGCACAUCUUGACGGUACCUAAUCAGAAAGCCACGGCUAACUACGUG
rnacentral:rRNA from 1 species